rnacentral:rRNA from 1 species
UCCAACAGGGUCGUGGGGUUAGGUGCCUCCGGAGUCGGCAUCCUUUGGGUUGUCGAAGCGGGAGAACUUAGAGCCCUCGGCUCGGAGAUUGCGUGUGUCCGAGGAGCGCUUGCGACCAGUUCGCACGGUGUAGCGCAGGCCCUCCUGGGCCGGGUCGCUCUUGGGCCUGCGUGCUUCGCGGCGUGCUACUGCAUGCAGUGGCCGUUGACGAUAACGCGCGCUCGCCCGGGAGGUCGGCCACGAUGUGC